AUCAUCGAUGAUGACAAGCGUUA
rnacentral:siRNA from 1 species